rnacentral:misc_RNA from 1 species
AAUUCUCAACUUCAUCAGUUUUAUUAUGAAAUUGUGUGAAGCUUGGAUAUGGGGGUUUGCAGAAUGCAAUACAUUGUUCUGCUCCUCUUAAAUAAAUUAGCAAGUUUAAACUAGGCUUCAUCUAUUGGUGUGAUAAUUAUCUACGCCGUGGAUUGGGCUUAGACUUGCUUCUAACAGUCUGAAAAGACAACAUUUUUGACA